UUCUUUUGUGAGUUUGGGAACAC
rnacentral:piRNA from 1 species